rnacentral:piRNA from 1 species
AUAAACAAAAGCUCUUGGGGGUUCUC